AUUGAACGCUGGCGGCAUGCUUUACACAUGCAAGUCGAACGGUAACAGCACUUCGGUGGCUGACGAGUGGCGAACGGGUGAGUAAUACAUCGGAACGUGCCCAGUAGUGGGGGAUAACUACUCGAAAGAGUAGCUAAUACCGCAUGAGAUCUAAGGAGGAAAGCAGGGGACCUUCGGGCCUUGCGCUACUAGAGCGGCUGAUGGCAGAUUAGGUAGUUGGUGGGGUAAAAGCUUACCAAGCCGACGAUCUGUAGCUGGUCUGAGAGGACGAGCAGCCACACUGGGACUGAGACACGGCCCAGACUCCUACGGGAGGCAGCAGUGGGGAAUUUUGGACAAUGGGCGCAAGCCUGAUCCAGCAAUGCCGCGUGCGGGAUGAAGGCCUUCGGAUUGUAAACUGCUUUUGUACGGAACGAAAAGCCCUCUUCUAAUACAGGAGGGUCAUGACGGUACCGAAAGAAUAAGCACCGGCUAACUACGUG
rnacentral:rRNA from 1 species